UACGGAAGGGGCAAGCGUUGUUCGGAAUCAUUGGGCGUAAAGGGCGCGUAGGCGGUUCUGUAUGUCUACCGUGAAAGUGUACGGCUCAACCGUAUUUUGUCGGUGGAAACUGCAGGACUUGAGGCUGGGAGGGGCUGGUGGAAUUCCCUGUGUAGCGGUGAAGUGCGUAGAGAUGGGGGAGAACACUCGUGGCGAAGGCGGCCAGCUAGACCAGUUCUGACACUGAGGCGCGACAGCGUGGGGAGCGAACAGG
rnacentral:rRNA from 1 species